UAUUAGCCCUGAUUGCACGAAAGAUACAGUGGAAAGCGGGAAAUAGC
rnacentral:misc_RNA from 1 species